GCCCUCCCCGGGACCGCACACUCCCCGGCUCCGGCGCCCCGAGUGCGGGCGCGAGCGGCUGUCCCCGCCUGCCCGCUCGCUUUCCGCCUCGCGCGUCUCCCUCCCUCGGAGGUACAGACCGCGUUACUCGAGGGAGAGCUCCGCGUGCUCUCGAGAGGGACCGGCUGGCGGGCGGGACGGCGCGCGGGCGGGGAGCGCCGACACGCCGCCCUCCGCGGGGUCGCGCCCGGGGAGGGCUCGCGGUAGGAGGGACCGAAGUUGCCCGGGAAUGGGCGAGAGUUCGCGCCUGGGUGUCAGGCUGCUCAGGGCUGCGUGGGCGAGCUGACUGCACCGGCGGCUCGGGUCCUGCUGACGCAGCCUCGCCCCCUCCUCUUCGCGGGGGUCCGCGGCGGCCGCGCUGCCCCGGAGCGGCGGUGGUGCCUGCUCUCCGUGCUCCUCAGCCGCCCGUCCGCAGCGGCCGCGAUUUCCGGCCGCAGCUGCGCGGCACCUCCCCAUACCCAAGUAGUGUCAGGCGCAUCGCUGUCGCAGGCUACAGGUGCCAGGUCUCCAUUUUGUGAGCAGUGGGAGAGCCCUGAGUCACACUCUGACCCAGCAGAAGCCUUCCCUCCCGCUGCCCAGGCCUGUUUUGCCCAGGUGGCAAACGGUGUCAGGGGUAGAAACGAAGAGCUGAAUUCAAGUGGUAUUUCACAUCCUUCCUGUAAUACGACAAAACUGACAUUUUUAAUCAUCUGGAAAAAAUUUCUCAAAACAAAACAAUCCUUUUGGUUUAAUUCUCUAAAUCCUAGCGCUCAUUUGAUAGGAGCCAUUGCAAAUACCAAAUGAAAGGCCUUAAUCUUAGACAUGCAAAUAAUAUAUAAAUAAUUUUCAAAUCCAUUGGUAAGUGACAGCUGUGAAUAAAUACACUUAAUAAAGAUUUCACUUUGAUAUUUUAGCUUUCCUCCCUAGCUGUAGAGCUCAAAAUUAGUAGAUUCAACUGUUAAGAGAUGAGUAAGAAAUGUUUCACAGUACUUUUCCAACAUUUUUAAAAUAAGAAAAUUUUCAUAUCUGUCUUCUGAGUCAUCUUAAAUGUUUUAAAAUUUCCAUACAAUCAAGAGAGAAAACGAAGAAAGAACAUAAAGUUUUCUGUGGUGUGAAGUACUUUGAUGAUAGCUGGUCAUCAACAUUCACUUAAGUGAAUCACUUAACUCACCCACUUAGUCUAACCUAGGAUCAGAGAGCUGGGAGCAACACCAAAGAUUACCUAACACCGGACUCAGCUUGGUAGCCACCAGCUCUCAGGUUCCUCUUAAUCAGCACAUUAGUUUUCUUGUCUUAUUUUGUUGUGGUUUCUUAAAAUGUAAUUUUAAAUCCUUUACCAGGGUCAAGUGUUCAGCUCUGUAUGUUCUGAAGCUUAUAUAAUAUGCUAGGUUUUACACACAGUCACCUCAAAUACCUUUUCCUACCUGCUUGAUUUCCAGUCAUUUGAGAAAUGAAUUUAGUCCAGUGACUAGGUCAAGAGAGGUUAACUAAAACAAAGUUAGUGUUACACACUGCUUAGGACAGCAGUUCUCACAGCAUGGCACAGAUUCUCCAGUCUCAAGGGCAUCUCUAGAUAUCAGAGACGGGCUUCUCAAAUCAUUUUAUAUUGCAAUGGCCAGUGUUCUGGUCUCCUGCACAUUGCGAGGGAGAGCUUUACACUCAACUUUUGCAUGACUGGUGAUGAAGAUUUAUUGAAAUGAUAUGGAAAAGCGAGGGAGAAAGGAACCCAUGGCAGCAAGUGAAAGGCCAGGCUUGAAGAAUUAAAAUGUAAUGCAAACUAUAAGAGCAGAUUCAAUGAUCUCCCAUUCUCAUGACCAUUGAUCACCUCCUGUUUCACUCUCUACUUCUUCCUAGCUCAUAGUCCUCGGGUUAUAUUGAAUUAAAAUCCAGAAAGAAAGAAAAAGAAAAAGAACACCUGAUUGAUUCAGUUGCCCCUGCACUGUAUUGCUUUCCCCAUAGGUUAGUUCUCACCUCACGUUCCAGACUGUUCUGUGGAUCAGAGCUACCAAGUAUCUGACUGUAACCCACAGUGAUAAAUAUCUUUCAUGUGAUCUUAUACAUACAUGCAUGUGCUUUCUUAAAGUAAUACUUAAACUACAUGUUUUACACUCUGGUUUGUUUUGGGGGUACAGGGAAUUAAACCCAGAGGCAGUCGACCACUGAGCUCUAUACCUCCAGCCCUUUUAUAUUUUUUAUUUUGAAGCAGAAACUCAUUAAGUUACUCAGACUGGGCUCAAAUUUGUGAUCUCCUGCCUCAGCCUACCAGAGGGUUGAGAUUACAGGUAUGCCUGGCUCUGAUAUUUAAUACUGUUCAUCAAGAUUAUCCUAUUUCUUAUUACUCUAUACAUUAAGAAAGUAAUAGUUGUGAUUCAUGUGCUGAGUUGAUUUCAUCACUCUGCAAAUUGUAAAAUAGUGCUAUAGAUUAGUCUUCUCAAUUCCAGUGUACUGAAAAUCACCUAUGGAUCUGUUAAAAUGCUGGGAGUAAGCUCAGUGGUGGAGCAUAUGCUUAGACUGUGUGAUGCCCUAGGUUCAGUUCCCAGCACCAAAAACAAAACAUGCACACACACACACGCGCACACGCGCACACACACACAACCAUUCUAAUUCAAGUGAAGUCUGAGAUACCUAGUGUGUUUCUAACAAACUCAGAGAUGCUGACACUGUAUCAUACUUUGAGAUGUAAGCCUCUGAGGUAUUAGUUUUUGGGUCCUGUGAACCAAUCCCCAGUUUAAUCAACCAAGGCAAGAGGUUUGAAUCUUGGUAUAAAGCCUUGAGAUCUGUGCACACGGAUCUUUCAUUGCUUCAUUGAGAGACACUGAGGCCAUCAUGGACAUAUAGAACGGCAUAGACUUUUCUAGUACAAUGACACUUAGUUCAGGGCUUCAAUAGUAUAGAACCCACUUAAUGGGUAUUUAUUAUUGUAAACUUACUAUGUGCCAAGCCCAACUCCAGGAUAAGAUAAAGUCCUCUAUAUUUUAUACUAUAGUGGUGUAAAAAAAUUAAAUCUUUAACUUCAGGUUAUACUUCUGCACAGUGAAGAUAAAUGAAGCUCGGGAAAGUGAGGACAGUGGUGGUGUGGGCACUGGACAGCAUUUAGGCAGCACCUCUUGGGGUCAGUGACACGUGACAGAGGCCCAAACAAAGCAAGACAGCACAGGGACAAUCUUGAGGGACCUUCAGGCAGAGAACUGGGCAGGCCCUGGUCCUGAGGAGGGCAAAUGGGGAAGUGAAAAGUUCAACAGGAAGGCAGGUUUGCCCAGAAAGGAGUAAGAGGGGAGUGUGAGGAGCGAUCAGGUCAGCCAGGUGGGCAGCCUCACUCACACAGGACCUUACAGGCUGAGGCACAUUUUGAGUUUAUCCUGAUAGUGACUGACAGUAGUGGAAGGGUUUGAGCGGGGAAGUGACAUGAAAUGUUUAUUUUACAUGACCACUCCGGGGGCUAUGUGAUGAGAAGGAUAGAAGUAUGGGGACUAGCUCAGCACUAAAACAGAAGCCCUCUGCUCACAGGACUGUGGCUUCUCUGUCACUGGACAGUACCAAGACAUCCACAACUUAAAGGAGGAAAGGCUUGAUUUGACUCAAUUUUAGUCCACGGUCAGCUGGUUCCAAGGCAGAAAUAUCCAGGUGGAAAUGUAUGGUGGGGCAAAGCUGUUUAGUACAUGGCAGCUUGGAAGCAAAGCAGAAGAGUGCCGGGGGAAAGGGGUGAGAGACCAAACAGGCCCCAAGGCCACACCUGUGAGACCCACCGAGACGCCUACACGUGUGCUGUGCUGAUUCCCUGGGCAGAUCCCAAGGCCAGUCCAGCUGAAACUCCACCCUAACCAGCACAGGGGAUAGAGUAAAGUAUUUUGCUGAGGUACUACAAGAUUGAGGAUAUGGAGAUACUCAUUUAUAGUAAGACUUUUGUUAAUAAUUGAUGUCUAACCAUGCAAGAUGCCAAAUUCCACAGAUGAGUCAAUGUAAACCUUUAAUAGAUGACCCUCUUGCAAGUCCAGAUUUCUAGGUGAGGCCAGAGCUUGUAUACUUGCAGCCUGACCUCCACCCACUGAUGUCCAGAUAGCCAAGGAGAAAAUUUCAUCUGCUUCCGUCAGUCAGUACUCCAUGUGCUGAGGUCACCUCAAGUAGCAGUACAGGAAUAUGGCUUUUGUUUUAAGGAAUAAUGCAGUAUGAAGUGAUUAAAAGCACCAUGCUUGCACUGGGGUUAUAGCUCAGUGGAAGAGAGCAUGCUUACCACACACAAGGCAUUGAAAACAUUUUCUCCUGUAGGUGAUGACGGUCUCCCUCUUGCCCAAAUCUUCCUCUUGAGAAUUUGCUGAUUUUAUUUCCCAUGUUAUACUAAAAGGAUCUUUAGAUUUGGUAAUGGUACACGAGGAUGAUGUACUAUUAUCUGUUCUAUCACAGAGAAGGAAAAAAACCAACACUGUCAAUUAGAUAAACAAACCCUCAUAUAUUAGACUGAUCUCAAUUUCAGAAAUGCUAAAAUGUGAAAAAAGCAAGCUUUCUUUUUUCAUGGAGACAUGGUCUUGCCAUAUAGCUCAGGCUGGCCUCAAACUCAUUGUGAUCCUCCUGCCUCAGCCUCCGGAGUGCUAGGAUUACUGGUGUGCAUCACCAUGCCUGGCUUAAAAGCAUAUUUCUUAAAAUUAAUGAAAUAUGUAUUAUCAUAAUCGAUUCAGUCAGAAACCUGGAAGUCAUCAUAGGUUACCCUCUCUCAAUGCUCGCAUACUGUACUGGGUUCCUACUUCACACAUCUCAUCCUCCAGUUUGGAAAACCUACCUGCUACCCCUGUGCUAAUGCCAUUAACAACCAGGUCACUCUCCAUUUUUCUUAGUUACUUUUCUCAUUGCUGAGACAAAAAACCUGACACCCACCACUCUAAGGAUGAAAAGUUUAUUUUGCCUUAUAGUUUGUAGAAGUUCCAGUCCAUAGUCCCCGCUAGGUCCUGGGCAGGGCAGGCUAGCAGAAAGGAAUGGCAGAGGAGAAAUGGCAGGCAGCAGGAAGCAGAGAGAUCAGUGGAGGAGGAGAGAGAGGGACGCUUCUGGGCCAGGCCCCGCCCCCCCGUGACCUACCUCCUCCCACCAGGCUUCCCCUCCCAGCAGCACAUCUGGCUACGAACUCAUCAAUAGACAAAUCCACUGAUGAGGGUCAUCGGCCAUGACCCAGUCACCUCCCAGAAGCCUACCUAAGAGAGCAUGAGGCUUUGAAGGGGACAUAUAACCCUACUCUGAAAACAGAAUGAUAUUCCAAAAAUAUAAAUUUGAUGAUCACGCUACUAAAUUAAGACUUUUCUCUAGUUUGUUUCAUGGUGAAGUCUAACCUCCUCUUCAUACCCUUAACAUGUUUCAUAAUCUUGUCAUUAUCUUCUUUUCCAAUAGAUUUGCACACAUAUGAGCAGACUAGUGUGUACAAUUUUUAUUCUUGGCCAGGCAUGGUGGGGUCCACCUAUAAUCUCAGCACUAGAGAAGCUGAACAAGGACGACUGCCUUGAGUUCAAGACCAGCCUAAACUUCAUAGCAAGACCUUGUCUCAAUAAAUAAAUAAAUAAACAUAUGCUCCUCUUUUACAGUGUCUUUUCCUCUUGUGUUCGCCCUUGACAAUGCCCACUUA
rnacentral:lncRNA from 1 species